GGCUAAACCAGAGCCUGCUAGAGUCAGAUCAACCAGGGAACAGAACGCAGAGAUUCACAUUGGCUUUGCACACCCAAGGUGGUGUCCUCACGGUUCCUCACAGAUAACACUUCCGCCAGGGAGAGUCCUGGGUGGUAAAGAAAACAGAGCCUGCUCAUGGCCUCUGUGUUAAAGGCAGUUCAUGCUUUCCUGGAGAAAAGGAAGGGGUCAUCGUGAUGCAGGUGCUGGUACCUUGCCCUGGCUCUGACUGCUGAUGCUGUAUGACCAGCCGGCCUCCUGCUUCUCUCUCCAUGAAUGUCCCUCCAGAAUGUCUCUCCAUUCUGUCCCUCCAGAACAGCGAGUCAUCAUAAAGACUUCUUCCUUGUCUUAGUUGCUUCCCUGUCGCCAUGAUAAAACACCAUGACUAGGCCACUUGCAAAACAAACAUUUAAUUGGGGACUCCUAGUUCCAGGGGGUUAGAGGUCAUGACCAUCAUGACAGGGAGCAUGGCAGCAGUCAGGCUGGCAUGGCAUUUGAACAGUAGCUGAGAGCUCACAUCUGACCCACAAGUAUAAGACACAGAGAAAGAGAUGAUUGAG